CAAAGUAUAGCUAAAAUUAGAGUAGUGUUUCAUUUACGUUGAAAUAGAUUAUCGUGCAAGUCGGUUUACUUUGA
rnacentral:tRNA from 1 species